UUUAGGGGUUCCUGGGUGUCACGCAGAUCUCGGUGGGACCUCCAAAUGAUAGACCUAGCGGGGAAACCCCCACUCCAUUCCCAAUUCAGCGUGCACCCAAAAAUCAUAAACAGGACA
rnacentral:pre_miRNA from 7 species